rnacentral:rRNA from 2 species
UGAGGAAUAUUGGUCAAUGGACGAGAGUCUGAACCAGCCAAGUAGCGUGAAGGAUGAAGGUUCUAUGGAUUGUAAACUUCUUUUAUACGGGAAUAAACGAAUCCACGCGUGGAUUUUUGCAUGUACCGUAUGAAUAAGGAUCGGCUAACUCCGUGCCAGCAGCCGCGGUAAUACGGAGGAUCCGAGCGUUAUCCGGAUUUAUUGGGUUUAAAGGGAGCGUAGAUGGGUUGUUAAGUCAGUUGUGAAAGUUUGCGGCUCAACCGUAAAAUUGCAAUUGAUACUGGCAGUCUUGAGUACAGUUGAGGUAGGCGGAAUUCGUGGUGUAGCGGUGAAAUGCUUAGAUAUCACGAAGAACUCCGAUUGCGAAGGCAGCUUACUAACCUGUAACUGACAUUGAUGCUCGAAAGUGUGGGUAUCAAACAGGAUUAGAUACCCUGGUAGUCCACACGGUAAACGAUGAAUACUCGCUGUAGGCGAUAUACAGUCUGCGGCCAAGCGAAAGCAUUAAGUAUUCCACCUGGGGAGUACGCCGGCAACGGUGAAACUCAAAGGAAUUGACGGGGGCCCGCACAAGCGGAGGAACAUGUGGUUUAAUUCGAUGAUACGCGAGGAACCUUACCCGGGCUUAAAUUGUAACCGAAUAUGGCGGAAACGCUAUAGCUAGCAAUAGCGGUUGUGAAGGUGCUGCAUGGUUGUCGUCAGCUCGUGCCGUGAGGUGUCGGCUUAAGUGCCAUAACGAGCGCAACCCUUGCCGAUAGUUACUAACAGGUUAUGCUGAGGACUCUGUCGGGACUGCCAUCGUAAGAUGUGAGGAAGGUGGGGAUGACGUCAAAUCAGCACGGCCCUUACGUCCGGGGCUACACACGUGUUACAAUGGGGGGUACAGAGGGCUGCUACCACGCAAGUGGAUGCCAAUCCCAAAAACCUCUCUCAGUUCGGAUUGAAGUCUGCAACCCGACUUCAUGAAGCUGGAUUCGCUAGUAAUCGCGCAUCAGCCACGGCGCGGUGAAUACGUUCCC